CAGUCGCCGCGGGAAUACGGAGGGAGCUAGCGUUGUUCGGAAUCACUGGGCGUAAAGCGCACGUAGGCGGCUAUUCAAGUCAGGGGUGAAAGCCCGGGGCUCAACCCCGGAACUGCCUUUGAAACUAGAUAGCUUGAAUCUUGGAGAGGCGAGUGGAAUUCCGAGUGUAGAGGUGAAAUUCGUAGAUAUUCGGAAGAACACCAGUGGCGAAGGCGACUCGCUGGACAAGUAUUGACGCUGAGGUGCGAAAGCGUGGGGAGCAAACAGGAUUAGAUACCCCCGUAGUCCCUGUCUCUUAUAC
rnacentral:rRNA from 1 species